rnacentral:rRNA from 1 species
CUACGGGGGGCACCAGGCGAGAAACCUUUGCAAUGUGCGCAAGCACGACAAGGUUAAUCCGAGUGUUUCCUGCUAAAGGAAUCUUUUGUUAGUCAUAAAACCACUAAUGAAUAAGGGGUGGGCAAGUUCUGGUGUCAGCCGCCGCGGUAAAACCAGCACCUCAAGUGGUCAGGAGGAUUAUUGGGCCUAAAGCAUCCGUAGCCGGCUUUGCAAGUUUCCGGUUAAAUCCAUUAGCUCAACUAAUGGGCUGCCGGGAAUACUACAAAGCUAGGGAGUGGGAGAGGUAGACGGUAUUCGGUAGGAAGGGGUAAAAUCCUUUGAUCUAUUGAGGACCACCUAUGGCGAAGGCAGUUUACCAGAACACGUUCGACGGUGAGGGAUGAAAGCUGGGGGAGCAAACCGGAUUAGAUACCCUCGUAGUC